rnacentral:rRNA from 1 species
GACGAACGCUGGCGGCGUGCUUAACACAUGCAAGUCGAACGGAAAGGCCCUGCUUUUGUGGGGUGCUCGAGUGGCGAACGGGUGAGUAACACGUGAGUAACCUGCACUUGACUUUGGGAUAACUUCAGGAAACUGGGGCUAAUACCGGAUAGGAGCUCCUGCUGCAGGGUGGGGGAUGGAAAGUUUCGGCGGUUGGGGAUGGACUCGCGGCUUAUCAGCUUGUGGGUGGGGGAGUGGCUUACCAAGGCUUUGACGGGUAGCCGGCCUGAGAGGGUGACCGGCCACAUUGGGACUGGGAUACGGCCCAGCCUCCUCCGGGAGGCAGCAGUGGAGAAUAUUGCACUACGGGCGGAAGCCUGAUGCAGCACCGCCGCGUGCGGGAUGACGGCCUUCGGGUUGUAAACCGCUUUCGCCUGUGACGAAGCGUGAGUGACGGUAAUGGGUAAAGAAGCACCGGCUAACUACGUG